rnacentral:misc_RNA from 1 species
GCUAAUCCAUCUCCGUCAAUCCCCAUCGCCGGCGUCGCGAUGCCUCCCAACUCCGCUCAACCAGAACACCAGAACGUUGAUCUCCUUCUCCUCUUCGAUCCGUGCUCCUCCAACAAGCUUGAUCUGCACGGGAACCGGGCGGUCGCCGUCCGCAGUCGCCGCUGGACCUCGCCCCCUGAUGGGAUCGAUGACGAACGUCAAGGGCCU